rnacentral:tRNA from 1 species
GAGGGUAUAGCUCAGUGAUAGAGUGUGUGCUUAGCAUGCACAAAGUCAUGGUUCAAGGCACGGGUUCAAUCCCUAGUACCUCCA